CGCCUGUUCUGGCUCCUUAUGCCGCAUUUUCACCCAGGGUAGUGCCAAACCACUCCUUCACGAUGGGGACAGCACAGCCUGGGAGAGCCUCUGUUCCAACUUCGGGGGGGGGAGCGGGGGGAUCAGUCGGGCUGGGGGGGGCAUGGGAGUGAUGCCAGCAUGGGUCAGUGCCACUUGUCAUCGCCUCGCUGCCAGCAAGCUUUGUGCCGGGGUGGUCAGAGCCCGAGCUGUGACGUUAGAGCCCAACUCCCUCCUAUCUGGGCAUGAAGCAGAGCAAAGCCCUGCGGGAGGAGAGGAGCUGCAGCUGCUCCGGUGGUAUGUGGCAAGGAGUAACCCAACACAGCCUCCUGCAACGAGAUACAGCAUCAGACAUUUAAAAGGAAUAGCUUUGAUGCCGGCUGUCAGCAAAAAAUGCAGGCAGAAAACGCGUGCCUUCAGCUGCUGCCACGCACAGAGCAGCAAGAGCCCCAUCCCAACAUCCUGCUGAGCACAGAGGGCCUCUUAAUGGGCGAAGAGGAGGUGAAACGCACAGCAGAGCGGUGGGGAUCUCCCCAGCUUGGAGGGCCCACUCCCAAAGGAGCACAGCAUGGAUGGGGACGUGUCUCCUUUUGCUCCAUCCACCCAUUCCCAGUGCAGCCAUACAGGAAGAAGAGCAGUCACCCCACCGAGCUGACCCGGACAGGCAAAGCACUGAGCCCUUGGGCACGGCACACAUCCUCAGCCUGACUCAUUGCCAGGUUUAUUGCCUUUGCAGGAAGGCUGCUAUCUGAGCCAUAAAAUGAUUUGCAGAAUCUUCAAAAGCUUAUAAAGGCAGUGAUUGAUACGCUCAUCUGCUGGCCACUUCCUGUCUUUAAAAGUCUGGCUUGUAAUCAGAGCAUCUCAAAAUAAAAAGAAAGAAAAAGCCAUGUAAACACUCUGCUCGAUGUUUUCACAGCUUUCUGCUGGCACCGGCGGGCUCUGCUCCUUCCUGCAGCCAUGGGCCUGUCUGGUUAACUCGUGAGCAUCCAGAGGGACAGCUGUUCCCCAGGCCCAGCCGUGCACCAUGGGCUGUUUCUAUUUGCUGCUACUCCUGUGCCACCCAUACGCAGCCCUCCGACUCCUGCUUCUCCUUUUCCUCCCCCUCUCCUCCUCUAUUUGUGGGUAAUAUCCCAUAGUCCCAUCCCUGUGUUUGCUGGGCACCCCAUGCUCCACGUCACCCACACGUUGGUGGAAGGCACGCCGUGCAAACGCCAUGGGGACGGCACAGGGGGUGCUCUGCAGAAAGAUGUUAGGCCCUAAAUACAGCAGGGGCUUCACAGCAGCAAACCCCACAGCACUACGAUGGGCUGCCCCACGGCGAUGCUCCCAGUGCAGCCCAGUAAGGAUGGGAGAGGGGGAGGGGAGGCACUGGUUUGCUUUCUGCUGGAGCAAGUUCACAGAUGAAAAGAAAGCAGUGAAGACCUCUCGUGGGCCGUGGGUGGCAGAGCAAGCUGGCUGCGCUACGGCUAUUUAUGCCUCAGGGCUGCCAUGGAUUUAUAUCUUUGUCAUUAAGUAUUGCAAAGAGAAAAAGAAGAAGGCAAACGCUCGUCCCUUUCUGAAGUCACAAAGUCAGAGGAUCGCUGACUCAAGCACCAAAAGUCCCCGAGCAGCUCUGCUCGUGCAGAUUUAGAAUCAGCCCCAGCCAACCUACGAGAAUAAUUAUUUCUCCUCUCCGCUGUGCUAUUUAAAGUGCAAUGAAGUACAGAGGCACUGUGUGGUGUGCAGAAGAGUUAUGCUCUCACGCGGCGAGGCGCUGUGCAGGUUCCCAGGACCAUGUUGUGCUGUGCACACAGCAGAUGUGAGGCAUUACCCACACAGCACCAGCUGAGCCACAAAGACCAAGGAGGAUGAACAUGGCUUUCCAGCAUCACGAGGCCACCAGCACCUGCGCUGCCCCAGCCAAGCUUGAAAUGCAAAGGGAAAACAAUGCAAAUGGCAAAUACUCCACGGAUUCUGCAGCUUGCUUUGAGUGGCAAUAAUGCCAUCUAACAAAUAAAUUCAUUAACAGCACAGAGUCUGUCCCAGCACCUUGGGUCUGCGUUUGCCAUGCGGGCUCUUGGAUGGCUCCAUGAGCAGUGCAGACAGCUGCGCCCGCAGAGAUGUCGUGGAAACAAAGGCAACAAAAUAAGAUUUGGAAUUUGCUUUGAAAUUCUGCCUUGGAUCUUCAGGGAAAAAAAAAAAAAAAAAAAAGGAAAGAAAGAAAGAAAAAAACCAACAGAAAAACAAAACAGAUGUGUGGUGUUUUUUAUUCUUUUUCUCAUGGAGGCGAACUGCCCCCCGCUCACUAAAGCAGGUGAAGGCAGCAGAGCCCAGAGCUUGGUGAGCCCCUGGUUCCCAGUGCUAAGAGCUCAGUGCUGUGUGGGUCUGACAGAGAGAUCUGAGGAGCCCAAGGCUUCUUGCUCACAUCGCCACGCACUUCAGAAAGAGAUCUGAGCAAUAACACAACAACAACAUGUGCAACUACUUAGAAGUCAAUUAAUAUCAGAGGAAGGACCCUUGUUGAAUCCAGCAGAAAGAAUGAUGGUUACAUUUCCGGAAUAAUGGCUGAAAUUUGCCAUUGUGUGUCAUCAGGAAUCAUUUAAAAUAGUUUUGAUCUCAGCUUUUUCUGUCGGGGCUCUAAUGAAUUAACAGAUGACAGAUUUCCGUAAUGAAAGGCUGUGUUUUAAAGACAAGCCGACAUUGUUUUCCCUGUACUACUCAUAUAAUUUGGGAUGUUUAAAAAUAAUUACAGCACAAGAUGAAUACCUUACAAGGUUUCAGAUAUUUCACACAUGCUGAGCCUUCCUCCUGCACAGGUUUUAGGGGCUGCACCCAAUCAACAUCCAAGUUCCAACACCCAGCAUCUAACAUCCAACUUCUGACAUUCAACUUCCAACACUCAAUUUCCAACACCCAACUUCCAAUAUCC
ensembl:lncRNA